AAAGUGGCCUAUGCGACGGCUAUGGAUUGGUUCAUUGCUGUUUGCUACGCCUUU
rfam:Picoides pubescens contig40024, whole genome shotgun sequence.